rnacentral:rRNA from 1 species
AUGCAACGCGAAGAACCUUACCAAGGCUUGACAUACACGAGAACACUCUAGAAAUAGGGGACUCUUUGGACACUCGUGAACAGGUGGUGCAUGGUUGUCGUCAGCUCGUGUCGUGAGAUGUUGGGUUAAGUCCCGCAACGAGCGCAACCCUCGUUCUAUGUUGCCAGCACGUAAUGGUGGGAACUCAUGGGAUACUGCCGGGGUCAACUCGGAGGAAGGUGGGGAUGACGUCAAAUCAUCAUGCCCCUUAUGUCUUGGGCUUCACGCAUGCUACAAUGGCCGGUACAAAGGGCUGCAAUACCGUGAGGUGGAGCGAAUCCCAAAAAGCCGGUCCCAGUUCGGAUUGAGGUCUGCAACUCGACCUCAUGAAGUCGGAGUCGCUAGUAAUCGCAGAUCAGCAACGCUGCGGUGAAUACGUUCCCGGGUCUUGUACACACCGCCCGUCAAGUCAUGAAAGUCGGUAACACCUGAAGCCGGUGGCCCAACCCUUGUGGAGGGAGCCGUCGAAGGUGGGAUCGGUAAUUAGGACUAAGUCG